UCAAUGCUCGCAAGAGUGAACUAGCUAACUGGAAUCACAAGUGUGUCACUUGUGAUAACGUAAAGGAAAAAUAAUGAUACCACUUUACUAUUAGUGUUGUCCAAACCUGGUGCCAGAAGACUCGGUAAUGCCAGAGACGCAAGCGUUAGUCAUCUUGAUAAGGCGUAAGGGUUUGUAGGCAGCUUUAAUUAUAAUUAAGCUUGAAUCAUAUAGAGGUCACCGUGAGAUAACCCUCGGAGUAGGGUUGAUAUCUGUAAAUACCGAGUGGAAUGCUAAUUAGCGAAGGCUCUUUUCCAAAUAAUGAUUGACGCUGAGAAACGAAGGGGAGGAUCGACAAUAGGAUUAGAUACCCUGGCAUCCCUCUCUGUCAACGAUGAAUGGUGGUUGCUAGUUCAAGUAGCUAGUGACGAUGUUAACGCGUUAACCAUUCCGCCUUGUGAGUACAAUUGCAAAGUUGAAAACAAAAAAAUUAGUCGGUUUCGGAGCAAACGAAGUGAAGCAUGUUAUUUAAUUCGAUAAUCCGCA
rnacentral:rRNA from 1 species